rnacentral:rRNA from 1 species
UACAGAGGUCUCAAGCGUUGUUCGGAUUCAUUGGGCGUAAAGGGUGCGUAGGCGGCGCGGUAAGUCGGGUGUGAAAUCUCGGAGCUUAACUCCGAAACUGCAUUCGAUACUGCCGUGCUUGAGGACUGGAGAGGAGACUGGAAUUUACGGUGUAGCGGUGAAAUGCGUAGAGAUCGUAAGGAAGGCCAGUGGCGAAGGCGAGUUCCUGGACAGUU